AGAGUUUGAUCAUGGCUCAGAUUGAACGCUGGCGGCAGGCCUAACACAUGCAAGUCGAGCGGAUGAAGAGAGCUUGCUCUCUGAUUCAGCGGCGGACGGGUGAGUAAUGCCUAGGAAUCUGCCUGGUAGUGGGGGACAACGUCUCGAAAGGGACGCUAAUACCGCAUACGUCCUACGGGAGAAAGCAGGGGACCUUCGGGCCUUGCGCUAUCAGAUGAGCCUAGGUCGGAUUAGCUAGUUGGUGAGGUAAUGGCUCACCAAGGCGACGAUCCGUAACUGGUCUGAGAGGAUGAUCAGUCACACUGGAACUGAGACACGGUCCAGACUCCUACGGGAGGCAGCAGUGGGGAAUAUUGGACAAUGGGCGCAAGCCUGAUCCAGCCAUGCCGCGUGUGUGAAGAAGGUCUUCGGAUUGUAAAGCACUUUAAGUUGGGAGGAAGGGUUGUAGAUUAAUACUCUGCAAUUUUGACGUUACCGACAGAAUAAGCACCGGCUAACUCUGUGCCAGCAGCCGCGGUAAUACAGAGGGUGCAAGCGUUAAUCGGAAUUACUGGGCGUAAAGCGCACGUAGGCGGUUUUUUAAGUCAGAUGUGAAAGCCCCGGGCUCAACCUGGGAAUUGCAUUUGAAACUGGAAAACUAGAGUGUGUGAGAGGGGGGUAGAAUUCCAAGUGUAGCGGUGAAAUGCGUAGAGAUUUGGAGGAAUACCAGUGGCGAAGGCGGCCCCCUGGCACAACACUGACGCUCAGGUGCGAAAGCGUGGGGAGCAAACAGGAUUAGAUACCCUGGUAGUCCAUGCCGUAAACGAUGAGGACUCGCUGUUGGGCUGUCAAGGUUCAGCGGCUUAGGGAAACCGUUAAGUCCUCCACCUGGGGAGUACGCCGGCAACGGUGAAACUCAAAGGAAUUGACGGGGACCCGCACAAGCGGUGGAUGAUGUGGUUUAAUUCGAUGCAACGCGAAAAACCUUACCCACCUUUGACAUGUAUGGAAUUCGCCAGAGAUGGCUUAGUGCUCGAAAGAGAGCCGU
rnacentral:rRNA from 1 species